rnacentral:rRNA from 1 species
AGGAAUUGAGGGGGGAAGCCUGAUGCAGCAACGCCGCGUGAGUGAUGAAGGCCUUCGGGUUGUAAAGCUCUGUCUUUUGGGACGAUAAUGACGGUACCAAAGGAGGAAGCCACGGCUAACUACGUGCCAGCAGCCGCGGUAAUACGUAGGUGGCAAGCGUUGUCCGGAUUUACUGGGCGUAAAGAAUGCGUAGGCGGAUACUUAAGUCAGAUGUGAAAUACCCGGGCUCAACUUGGGUGCUGCAUUUGAAACUGGGUGUCUAGAGUGCGGGAGAGGAAAGUGGAAUUCCUAGUCUAGCGGUGAAAUGCGUAGAGAUUAGGAAGAACACCAGUGGCGAAGGCGACUUUCUGGACCGUAACUGACGCUGAGGCA